rnacentral:rRNA from 1 species
AUGAACGCUGGCGGCGUGCCUAAUACAUGCAAGUCGAGCGAACAGACGAGGAGCUUGCUCCUCUGACGUUAGCGGCGGACGGGUGAGUACCACGUGGAUAACCUACCUAUAAGACUGGGAUAACUUCGGGAAACCGGAGCUAAUCCCGGAUAAUAUAUUGAACCGCAUGGUUCAAUAGUGAAAGACGGUUUUGCUGUCACUUAUAGAUGGAUCCGCGCCGCAUUAGCUAGUUGGUAAGGUAACGGCUUACCAAGGCAACGAUGCGUAGCCGACCUGAGAGGGUGAUCGGCCACACUGGAACUGAGACACGGUCCAGACUCCUACGGGAGGCAGCAGUAGGGAAUCUUCCGCAAAGGGCGAAAGCCUGACGGAGCAACGCCGCGUGAGUGAUGAAGGUCUUCGGAUCGUAAAACUCUGUUAUUAGGGAAGAACAAAUGUGUAAGUAACUAUGCACGUCUUGACGGUACCUAAUCAGAAAGCCACGGCUAACUACGUG